UCAAGGCUGCUCUCUAUCAAUACCUCGACAUUGGUGGAUGGACGAAACGCAGAAAUUGAUCGGCACGACGAUGGUGCAAAUUGAUCCUACCUCUGUUCGCUAAGGCACAGCUUCUUUCCCACACGUACACACCGUGUAUGCAUUCUACAACCACGGAUAGAAUCCGUGUCUCGCGCUCCCUUUCGUGUGGCGCGUUGUCCUCGGGACCGGAGUUCACAACGCUCGCGACCCAUAUAUGGUCACUCGCUGUAUAAUUCAUCGGCACAGACACAAGUACGAGCAGAUUGAAAGUGCUCGGAUGUUUCCAAGACGAAAGACCAGGAACCCAAAAUAGUCGAGUCCAAGACGCCUAUCCCAUCGAGCGGGUCCGGAAUACGAAACGCACUAUAAAGUGAACCCGUUCUUUUAAUUAUCCCAAGCCGAUGGCAGCCUCGAGGAGGCUGAAGAACCUCGGCGUCCGAAGACAAGGGCGAUGGGAGAAGGGUAAUUGAGCGAACAGCCAGCCUUACGUCCAGGUUUCCUCGUCUUCGAAGGGACCCCAGAUCUAACCAUAACUCCGCCUCGUCCUCACCAACAAUGAGGUCUCCAAGGAUCGGGCAGGUCCUUGCGCCUACGGUGACUUCGAUUCUUGUUUGAAACGAUUCGAUCGAAAGUUUGACCACGGGUAAGUAUACAUAAUAUGAGACAUCUUUGAUCGGUGCGCCUUAGGGAUCCCGCUUUCCGGAAGAGUUUUUCCAUUAAUCACGGUCGUUUUAAUCGAUUUCGACUGAAACGCGAGUGAAAUUACCGCCUGCGGUAAGCAGCGCGUCCAACAACCCCGUGGGAAUGCUAUGCCCGAUUCACCCGGCUCUUCAUCGCGUCCGGUAAUUCAGGAGUAAUGUUGGCAAGCAAACGUCAUGUACCUACAACGUAAUUUAUACAAGAAGUUCGCAGUACACUGAAAUUGGUUGAGGAAACACUUUGUUGGGCUUUGUUGGGACGAAUGAUUAAAGAUCCACAGUCAAACCUAAACUUUACCAAUAAAACGAACUUCCUUCACAAAAUACUAGCUAUGCACUUAAUUCAACGUUCAACAAAUCGACCGAUUACUUAGCAAAGUGUUUGGCAAAAGUUUUUCACAAAAGCUUGCAGGAUCCCGUUCUAAAUAUAAAAAAUAUCCAAAUUCAUAUGAAAGCACAACGGUUCAUUACGCAGCUACGCUUGUCUGCAGCGAACAGUGGAAGGUUAAUUACUUACGGUUCUCGUUUAGUCGGACAACUUCUGCGCC